UACGAAGGGGGCUAGCGUUGCUCGGAAUCACUGGGCGUAAAGGGCGCGUAGGCGGUCUUUUAAGUCGGGGUGAAAGCCGUGUGGCUCAACCACAGAAUUGCCUUCGAAUACUGGGAGACUUGAGUUCGGAAGAGGUUGGUGGAACGUGCGAGUGCAGAGGUGAAAUUCGUAGAUAUUCGCAAGAACACCAGUGGCGAAGGCGGCUCACUGGCCCGGUACUGACGCUGAGGUGCGAAAGCGUGGGGAGCAAACAGGG
rnacentral:rRNA from 1 species